AGAGUUUGAUCAUGGCUCAGAUUGAACGCUGGCGGCAGGCCUAACACAUGCAAGUCGAGCGGUAGCACAGAGAGCUUGCUCUCGGGUGACGAGCGGCGGACGGGUGAGUAAUGUCUGGGAAACUGCCUGAUGGAGGGGGAUAACUACUGGAAACGGUAGCUAAUACCGCAUAACGUCGCAAGACCAAAGUGGGGGACCUUCGGGCCUCAUGCCAUCAGAUGUGCCCAGAUGGGAUUAGCUAGUAGGUGGGGUAACGGCUCACCUAGGCGACGAUCCCUAGCUGGUCUGAGAGGAUGACCAGCCACACUGGAACUGAGACACGGUCCAGACUCCUACGGGAGGCAGCAGUGGGGAAUAUUGCACAAUGGGCGCAAGCCUGAUGCAGCCAUGCCGCGUGUGUGAAGAAGGCCUUCGGGUUGUAAAGCACUUUCAGCGGGGAGGAAGGCGGUAAGGUUAAUAACCUCAUCGAUUGACGUUACCCGCAGAAGAAGCACCGGCUAACUCCGUGCCAGCAGCCGCGGUAAUACGGAGGGUGCAAGCGUUAAUCGGAAUUACUGGGCGUAAAGCGCACGCAGGCGGUCUGUCAAGUCGGAUGUGAAAUCCCCGGGCUCAACCUGGGAACUGCAUUCGAAACUGGCAGGCUAGAGUCUUGUAGAGGGGGGUAGAAUUCCAGGUGUAGCGGUGAAAUGCGUAGAGAUCUGGAGGAAUACCGGUGGCGAAGGCGGCCCCCUGGACAAAGACUGACGCUCAGGUGCGAAAGCGUGGGGAGCAAACAGGAUUAGAUACCCUGGUAGUCCACGCCGUAAACGAUGUCGAUUUGGAGGUUGUGCCCUUGAGGCGUGGCUUCCGGAGCUAACGCGUUAAAUCGACCGCCUGGGGAGUACGGCCGCAAGGUUAAAACUCAAAUGAAUUGACGGGGGCCCGCACAAGCGGUGGAGCAUGUGGUUUAAUUCGAUGCAACGCGAAGAACCUUACCUGGUCUUGACAUCCACAGAACUUUCCAGAGAUGGAUUGGUGCCUUCGGGAACUGUGAGACAGGUGCUGCAUGGCUGUCGUCAGCUCGUGUUGUGAAAUGUUGGGUUAAGUCCCGCAACGAGCGCAACCCUUAUCCUUUGUUGCCAGCGGUCCGGCCGGGAACUCAAAGGAGACUGCCAGUGAUAAACUGGAGGAAGGUGGGGAUGACGUCAAGUCAUCAUGGCCCUUACGACCAGGGCUACACACGUGCUACAAUGGCAUAUACAAAGAGAAGCGACCUCGCGAGAGCAAGCGGACCUCAUAAAGUAUGUCGUAGUCCGGAUUGGAGUCUGCAACUCGACUCCAUGAAGUCGGAAUCGCUAGUAAUCGUAGAUCAGAAUGCUACGGUGAAUACGUUCCCGGGCCUUGUACACACCGCCCGUCACACCAUGGGAGUGGGUUGCAAAAGAAGUAGGUAGCUUAACCUUCGGGAGGGCGCUUACCACUUUGUGAUUCAUGACUGGGGUGAAGUCGUAACAAGGUAACCGUAGGGGAACCUGCGGUUGGAUCACCU
rnacentral:rRNA from 1 species